rnacentral:rRNA from 1 species
UGGGGAAUAUUGGACAAUGGGCGCAAGCCUGAUCCAGCCAUGCCGCGUGAGUGAUGAAGGCCCUAGGGUUGUAAAGCCCUUUCACCGGUGAAGAUAAUGACGGUAACCGGAGAAGAAGCCCCGGCUAACUUCGUGCCAGCAGCCGCGGUAAUACGAAGGGGGCUAGCGUUGUUCGGAUUUACUGGGCGUAAAGCGCACGUAGGCGGACUUUUAAGUCAGGGGUGAAAUCCCGGGGCUCAACCCCGGAACUGCCUUUGAUACUGGAAGUCUUGAGUAUGGUAGAGGUGAGUGGAAUUCCGAGUGUAGAGGUGAAAUUCGUAGAUAUUCGGAGGAAAACCAGUGGCGAAGGCGGCUCACUGGACGAUUACUGACGCUGAGGUGCGAAAGCGGGGGGAGCAAACAGG